rnacentral:tRNA from 1 species
GCCUGGAUAGCUCAGUCGGUAGAGCAGAGGACUGAAAAUCCUCGUGUCGGCGGUUCGAUUCCGUCUCCAGGCACUA